UUGCUUCAGCAGCACAUAUACUAAAAUUGGAACAAUACAGAGAUUAGCAUGGCCCCUAUGUGAGGACGACAUCCAAAUUCAUCAAUUAUUCCAUGUUUUU
rnacentral:snRNA from 1 species